UUACUUGUAAGGUUAACUUUCUGUCUCUGUCUGUUUCAGCAGGAGGAUGGAAACUGACGACUGCUGUGACAGUUCCUGCUAUUUUCCUCAUUAUCAUACUCAUCUUUGUCGUCAUAUGGAUCAUAAAGAAGAGGGCCUGCAAGCAACCGUCUGAGCCCGGAGACAGACCAGAGAACAGUGAACAGAUACAACCAGCAGAGGAGCAGGAUGAGCUUCAAUAUGCCACUGUCGACUUUUCCAGGAACCAGGCUGAUCCUCUCUACUCCAACAUCCAACCAGUUAAACCCCAAACACACAAGAAAAAGAAGAAGGAAGAAGAAGAAGGAGAACAAGAGGAGAUGGUUGAGUACUCUGUGGUUAACUUUAACAGCGGCGGUGCAGC